rnacentral:lncRNA from 1 species
UUUUUUUAAGUGUUGGCAUCUGUUGGGCGACUCGAUGACAGGAGAAGUUUUGGAUGCUAUCAAUAACAAACAAAUCCCUGAAGGUUGGAAUGACAUUGUGAUAGUUCUCAUGCCGAAAGUGGAUGAUCCAGAAUUAAUUACGCAAUAUAGGCCCAUCAGCUUGUGUAACGUGUUGUAUAAGGUAAUAUCCAAAAUGAUCGCUCUACAUCUUAAACAGGUGUUGGAUGAUAUUAUUUCUCGAGUACAGAGUGCCUUUGUUCCUGGAAGACUGAUUACUGAUAACAUAUUGUUGGCCUAUGAAAGUAUCCAUGCUAUUAAAAAUAAGAAGGGGAAAUGGGGUUAUUGUGCGGUAAAGCUGGACAUGCAUAAAGCUUAUGACUGAGUAGAAUUGCAAUUCCUACAGGAUAUGAUGAUUCAAUUAGGUUUUCAUCAAGAGUUUGUGGAGCUUCUAAUGGCGUGUGUACAAUCUAUAAAAUAUAAGGUGAGGUUUAAUAAUCAAGAAACAAACUCUUUCACCCAGAGAGGGGGCUUUGCCAGGGAGAUUCUCUCUCCCCAUACCUGUUUCUGAUUUGUGCUGAGGGCUUAUCUAGUUUGUUGUCUCAUAAAGAGGAGGUUCGUGGCAUAGAAGGUUUCAGGGUUUGCAGAAAUGCACCAUCAGUUUCCCAUUUAUUAUUUGCUGAUGAUUCCCUUGUCCUUAUGAAAGCAGAUAUGAAUAAUGCAACCUCAUUGAGACAGGUACUGGAGCUGUAUUGUGCAAGUUCUGGACAGCUUGUGAGUGAAGCAAAAUGCAGCAUAUAGUUUAGUAAUGUAAGUGUUGAAACAAAGGCCAAUAUAUGUACUGAACUAAAUAUUAUGUCAGAAGCUCUUUCUGACAAGUAUUUAGGAUUACCUGCAAUGGUGGGAGUAGACUGAAGUGACAGUUUUGUUCAUUUACUCGAAAGGAUCAUUGCUAGGCUAAAAAGUUGGAACGAAAAGUUUUUAUCCAUGGGGGGGAGGAAAUUUUGCUAAAAGCAGUCAUGCAAUCUAUUCCUGUCUUCGCUGUGUCUAUUUUCAAUAUCCCCAAGAAAUCAUGUAAGGAGAUGAUUGAUGCAAUGUCUGAAUUUUGGUGGGGUGGCUCUGAGAACACAAAACAUAUGCAUUGGAUGGCUUGGUGGAGGAUGUGCAUUUCCAGGAGGGGUGGAGGUAUGGGGUUUCGUGAUCUACAUUCUUUUAAUCUAACAAUGCUAGCAAAACAGUCAUGGAGACUUAUUUCUACUCCUGAUUCAUUUGUGCACAAGUACUGAAAUCUAAACAUUUCCCAAAUUGUUUAUUACUCAAACUGGCCCAAAGAAGGGGUCCAACUUUACCUGGCAAAGCAUUGUGGCGGGUCCGAACACUUUCCGAAGAGCACAUGCAUGGCGUGUUGGUACGGGUGAGAUGAUUAAUAUUUGGGAGGAUCAUUGGGUGCCAGGUAGUCCUUCUCGUAUGAUACAGACGCCAAAGGGGAAUAUUAUGCUACAGUAUGUAAACGAGCUAAUCAGUCCGGUUAGUGGUCUCUGGGAUGAGGUGUUGUUGAGAGAUAUAUUCUCUCCCAUUGACGUUGACAGAAUUCUUAAGAUUACACUAAGUGAACACGUAGGAGAUGUUGGAAAUAUGCCCUGGAGGCAAUAAUAAAAUGGUUAUUAUUAUAUUUCCUUGUUCAUGAUAAUCGUCUAUUGUUCAUGUUAUAAUUGUGUUAUCCGGAAAUCGUAAUACAUGUGCGAACACAUAGACCAUAACAUGUCCCUAGUGAGCCUCUAGUUGACUAGCUCGUUGAUCAAUAGAUGGUUACGGUUUCCUGACCAUGGACAUUGGAUGUCAUUGAUAACGGGAUCACAUCAUUAGGAGAAUGAUGUGAUGGACAAGACCCAAUCCUAAGCAUAGCACUAGAUCGUGUAGUUCGUUUGCUAAAGCUUUUCUAAUGUCAAGUAUCAUUUCCUUAGACCAUGAGAUCGUGCAACUCCCGGAUACCGUGGGAAUGCUUUGGGUGUACCAAACGUCACAACGUAACUGGGUGGCUAUAAAGGUGCACUACAGGUAUCUCCGAAAUCGGAUCGAGACUGGGAUUUGUCACUCCGUAUGACGGAGAGGUAUCUCUGGGCCCACUCGGUAAUGCAUCAUCAUAAUGAGCUCAAUGUAACUAAGUACUUAGUCACGGAUCAUGCAUUACGGAAUGAGUAAAGUGACUUGCCGGUAACGAGAUUGAACGAGGUAUUGGGAUACCGACGAUCGAAUCUCGGGCAAGUAACGUACCGAUUGACAAAGGGAAUUGUAUACGGGAUUGCUUGAAUCCUCGACAUCGUGGUUCAUCCGAUGAGAUCAUCGUGGAACGUGUGGGAGCCAACAUGGGUAUCCAGAUCCCGCUAUUGGUUAUUGGCUAGAGAGGUGUCUCGGUCAUGUCUGCAUGAUUCCCGAACCCGUAGGGUCUACACACUUAAGGUUCGAUGACGCUAGGGUUAUAAGGAAGGUUUGUAUGUGAUUACCGAAUGUUGUUCGGAGUCCCAGAUGAGAUCCUGGACGUCACGAGGAGUUCCGUAUUGGUCCGGAGGUGAAGAUUUAUAUAUGGGAAGUCAUCAUACGGUCACCGGAAAUAUUCGGAGGUAUACCGGUAUUGUACCGGGACCACCGGAGGGGUUCCGGGAGUCCACCUGCCCCGGAGGGCCCUAUGGGCUAUAGGUGGAAGGGAACCAGCCCCUAAGUGGGCUGGGCGCCAUCCCCCUAGGGCCCAUGCGCCUAGGGUUGGGAGGAACCCUAAAAGGGGGCGCCCCCUUGCUUGGGGGGCAAGCCCCCUCCCCCUUGGCCGUCGCCCCCCCUCUAGAUCUCAUCUAGAGGGGCCGGCCCCCUUCCCCCUUUUCCCUAUAAAUAGAGGGGUGGAGGGAGGGCUGCAGCACCACAUCCAAGGCGCAGCCCCUCCCCUCCCCAACACCUCUCCUCCUCCGCGUGAGCUUGGCGAAGCCCUGCCGGAGAACUGCCACUCCACCACCACCACGCCGUCGUGCUGCUGUUGGAGCCUUCUUCCUCAACCUCUCCCUCCUCCUUGCUGGACCAAGGCGCGGGAGACGUCACCGGGCUGCACGUGUGUUGAACGAGGAGGCGCCGUUGUUCGGCGCUUGGAUCGGAAUCAACCGCGAUCUGAAUCGCUACGAGUACGACUCCCUCAUCUGCGUUCUUGUAACGCUUCCGUCUCGCGAUCUUCAACGGUAUGAAGAUGCACUUCCCUCUCUCUCGUUGCUAGUUACUCCAUAGAUUGAUCUUGGUGAUGCGUAGAAAUUUUUUAAUUUCUGCAACGAUCCCCAACAGGAGAGGAUUUCAUUGCCUGGCAUUAUACAAAAUCCUAUACUUUCUCCGUACGAUUUGCUUACUAUAUUGAAUGGGACCAUUCCCAUCGACAUAGACUAACUCUUGAAGAUGGCUAGAGUACAUCAAGGCGCAACCCUGUGUGGGACAUUUUAUGGAAAUUACAAGUGCCAAACAAAGUUAAAAUCUUUGGGUCGAAGGCUUUAGAUGGCAUGAUUCCAGGUUUUGCUAUUCUUGCUAAUAGGCAUAUUCCAAUUACUGCCCAGUGUCCUGUAUGUGAAAGUGGCCAUGAAGAUAUAAAACAUCUUAUGUUCACUUGUGUUCGUGAAAAAACAGUUUGGAAUUCUUUGGGGUUGCUGCAGUAUAUCAAUGAAGUUGUUCCAGUGGACCGAUCGGGUUCAGUCAUUUUGGAAGAAAUACUUUGACGGCCACAAAAUAAUUCUCUGGUGAUCAAGGGGGGUUUGAAGGAACUAAUCCUAGUGGGGGCAUGGUAUAUCUGGUGGCAAAGAAGGGAGUAUGUUAAGGGUCAACGUGUGGCAGAACCAGCUAGCUCAGCUUUCUCAAUUCAAGCCUUGACAUGUAAUUUUAUGGGAGCACAACUUAACUAUGAACCUCGUGAGAUCGCUUGGUCUAAGCCACCAGGUAAUACAUAUAAACUAAAUGUGGACGCUGCUUUCUCUGAAAAUGGAUAUGGAGGUGCGGGCGCUGUGGUACGCAACGACAGGGGAGAGGCGAACGCGGGUGCAUGAUGGCCGCUGCAGAAUCUUCUUGACGCGGCAAAUGCUGAAGAUACGACUCUCUUGAAAGGAUUAUGUUUAAUUGAGACUCUGGAUUGUGCUCCAGUUAUCAUAGAAUCUGACUCGUUGGAGCUUGUGGAAGCCUUCAAGGGAGUAAUUCAAGUCUGGUCCCCGUAUUUGGCGAUUCUUGCAGAUUGUUUCCAGGUUGCCUACAGGAUUGGCUCAAUUUCAAUUCAACACUGCUCCAGGGAGGCAAAUUUCGUGGCGCAUAAUUUAGCUAAACAUGCUUUUGUUUCUAAUUCUGCCGUUUUUGGGAUGAUGAUCCCCCUAGUUUCAUUAUCCCGGCCGUAAUGAAUGAUGUAUCUUUGUUUGAAUUGCAAUAAAACGCACCAUGAAGGCUUUCCCUGAAAAAACACGCGUCCCAUGAUAUCCAACUUUGGAGUCGAUUUUUAGGGUGAACUGAAAAACCAUGUGAUGGUUGGUGGGAGGGAAAUUUCUGUUGGAAAUAUGCCCUAGAGGCAAUAAUAAAUGGUUAUUAUUAUAUUUCUUUGUUCAUGAUAAUCGUCUAUUGUUCAUGCUAUAAUUGUAUUGUCCGGAAAUCGUAAUACAUGUGUGAAUGCAUAGACCACAACAUGUCCCUAGUAAGCCUCUAGUUGACUAGCUCGUUGAUCAACAGAUAGUCAUGGUUUCUGACUAUGGACAUUGGAUGUCAUUGAUAACGGGAUCACAUCAUUAGGAGAAUGAUGUGAUGGACAAGACCCAAUCCUAAGCAUAGCAUAAAAGAUCGUGUAGUUUCGUUUGCUAGAGCUUUUCCAAUGUCAAGUAUCUUUUCCUUAGACCAUGAGAUUGUGCAACUCCCGGAUACCGUAGGAGUGCUUUGGGUGUGCCAAACGUCACAACGUAACUGGGUGACUAUAAAGGUGCACUACGGGUAUCUCCGAAAGUGUCUGUUGGGUUGGCAUGGAUCGAGACUGGGAUUUGUCACUCCGUGUGACGGAGAGGUAUCUCUGGGCCCACUCGGUAAUGCAUCAUCAUAAUGAGCUCAAUGUGACUAAGGGUUAGUCACGGGAUCAUGCAUUGUGGUACGAGUAAAGAGACUUGCCGGUAACGAGAUUGAACAAGGUAUUGGGAUACCGACGAUCGAAUCUCGGGCAAGUAACAUACCGAUUAACAAAGGGAAUUGCAUACGGGGUUGAUUGAAUCCUCGACACCGUGGUUCAUCCGAUGAGAUCAUCGUGGAACAUGUGGGAGCCAACAUGGGUAUCCAGAUCCCGCUGUUGGUUAUUGACCGGAGAGGCGUCUCGGUCAUGUCUGCUUGUCUCCUGAACCCGUAGGGUCUACACACUUAAGGUUCGGUGACGCUAGGGUUAUAGAGAUAUGUGUAUGCGGAAACCCGAAAGUUGUUCGGAGUCCCGGAUGAGAUCCCAGACGUCACGAGAGGUUCCGGAAUGGUCCGGAGGUGAAGAAUUAUAUAUAGGAAGUCAAGUUUCGGCCAUCGGGAAAGUUUUGGGGGUUACCGGUAUUGUACCGGGACCACCGGAAGGGUCCCGGGGGUCCACCGGGUGGGGCCACCUAUCCCGGAGGGCCCCGUGGGCUGAAGUGGGAAGGGAACCAGCCCCUAGUGGGCUGGGCGCCCCCCCAUGGGCCUCCCCCCAUGCGCCUAGGGUUGGGAACCCUAGGGUGGGGAGGGCUUCCCACUUGCCUUGGGGGGCAAGGCACCCCCUUUCCCCCUUUGGCCGCCGCCCCCCCCCCCCUUGAGAUCCCAUCUCCAGGGCCGGCGCCCCCCCAGGGGGCCUAUAUAAAGGGGGGGAGGGCAGCAACAAGACAGCCUUGGGCGCCUCCCUCCUCCCCUGCUACACCUCUUCGUCUCGCAGAAGCUCGGCGAAGCCCUGCCGAGACCCGCUACAUCCACCACCACGCCGUCGUGCUGCUGGAUCUCCAUCAACCUCUCCUUCCCCCUUGCUGGAUCAAGAAGGAGGAGACGUCGCUGCACCGUACGUGUGUUGAACGCGGAGGUGCCGUCCGUUCGGCACUCGGUCAUCGGUGAUUUGGAUCACGGCGAGUACGACUCCGUCAUCCACGUUCAUUGGAACGCUUCCGCUCGCGAUCUACAAGGGUAUGUAGAUGCACUCCUUUCCCCUCGUUGCUAGUAUACUCCAUAGAUGCAUCUUGGUGAGCGUAGGAAAAUUUUAAAUUAUGCUACGAUUCCCAACAGUGGCAUCAUGAGCCAGGCCUAUGCGUAGUUACUAUGCACGAGUAGAACACAAAGCAGUUGUGGGUGUUGAGUUUGCCAAUUCUUCUUGCCGCUACUAGUCUUUUCUUGUUUCGGCGGUAUUGUAGGAUGAAGCGGCCCGGUCCGACCUUACACGUACGCUUACGUGAGACAGGUUCCACCGAUUGACAUGCACUAGUUGCAUAAGGUGGCUAGCGGGUGUCUGUCUCUCCUACUUUAGUCGGAACGGAUUCGAUGAAAAGGGUCCUUAUGAAGGGUAAAUAGAAAUUGGCAAAUCACAUUGUGGUCAUACGUAGGUAAGAAACGUUCUUGCUAGAAACCUAUAAACCACGUAAAAACUUGCAACAACAAUUAGAGGACGUCUAACUUGUUUUUGCAGCAAGUGCUAUGUGAUGUGAUAUGGCCAGAAGAUGUGAUGAAUGAUAUAUGUGAUGUAUGAGAUUGAUCAUAUUCUUGUAAUAGGAAUCACGACUUGCAUGUCGAUGAGUAUGACAACCGGCAGGAGCCAUAGGAGUUGUCUUUAUUAUUUUACAUGACCUGCGUGUCAUUGAAUAACGCCAUGUAAAUUACUUUACUUUGUUGCUAAACGCGUUAGCCGUAGAAGUAGAAGUAAUCGUUGGCGUGACGACUUCAUGAAGACACAAUGAUGGAGAUCAGGAUGAUGGAGAUCAUGGUGUCAUGCCGGUGACGAAGAUGAUCAUGGUGCCCCGAAGAUGGAGAUCAAAGGAGCAUAAUGAUAUUGGCCAUAUCAUGUCACUAUUUGAUUGCAUGUGAUGUUUAUCAUGUUUUUGCAUCUUAUUUUCUUAGAACGACGGUAGUAAGUAAGAUGAUCCCUUAUAAUAAUUUCAAGAAAGUGUUCACCCUAACUGUGCACCGUUGCGAAGGUUCGUUGUUUCGAAGCACCACGUGAUGAUCGGGUGUGAUAGAUUCUAACGUUCGAAUACAACGGGUGUUGACGAGCCUAGCAUGUACAGACAUGGCCUCGGAACACACGCAAUACACUUAGGUUGACUUGACGAGCCUAGCAUGUACAGACAUGGCCUCGGAACACGGAGGACCGAAAGGUUGAGCAUGAGUCGUAUAGAAGAUACGAUCAACAUGGAGAUGUUCACCGAUCUUGACUAGUCCGUCUCACGUGAUGAUCGGACACGGCCUAGUUAAACUCGGAUCAUGUUUCACUUAGAUGACUAGAGGGAUGUCUAUCUGAGUGGGAGUUCAUUAAAUAAUUUGAUUAGAUGAACUUAAUUAUCAUGAACUUAGUCUAAAAUCUUUACACUAUGUCUUGUAGAUCAAAUGGCCAACGUUGUCCUCAAUUUCAACGCGUUCCUAGAGAAAACCAAGCUAAAAGAUGAUGGCAGCAACUAUACGGACUGGGUCCGGAACCUGAGGAUCAUCCUCAUAGUAGCCAAGAAAGAUUAUGUCCUAGAAGCACCGCUAGGUGAUGCACCAAUCCCACAGAACCAAGACGUUAUGAACGCUUGGCAGCAGCGUGCUGAUGAUUACUCCCUCGUUCAGUGCGGCAUGCUUUACAGCCUAGAACCGGGUCUCCAAAAGCGUUUUGAGAAACAUGGAGCAUAUGAGAUGUUCGAGGAGCUGAAAUUGGUUUUCCAAGCUCAUGCUCGGGUCGAGAGAUAUGAAGUCUCCGACAAGUUCUUCAGCUGUAAAAUGGAGGAGAACAGUUCUGUUAGUGAGCACAUACUCAGAAUGUCUGGGUUGCAUAACUGCUUGUCUCAGCUGGGAGUCAAUCUCCCGGAUGACGCGGUCAUUGACAGAAUCCUCCAGUCGCUUCCACCAAGCUACAAGAGCUUUGUGAUGAACUUCAAUAUGCAGGGGAUGGAAAAAACCAUUCCCGAGGUAUAUUUAAUGCUGAAAUCAGCAGAGGUGGAGAUCAGAAAAGAACAUCAAGUGUUGAUGGUGAAUAAAACCACUAAGUUCAAGAAGGGCAAGGGUAAGAAGAACUUCAAGAAGGACGGCAAGGGAGUUGCCGCGCCCGGUAAGCCAGUUGCCGGGAAGAAGUCAAGGAAUGGACCCAAGCCCGAGACUGAGUGCUUUUAUUGCAAGGGAAGUGGUCACUGGAAGCGGAACUGCCCCAAAUACUUAGCGGACAAGAAGAAGGCCGGCAACACCAAAGGUAUAUGUGAUAUACAUGUAAUUGAUGUGUACCUUACCAGUACUCGUAGUAGCUCCUGGGUAUUUGAUACCGGUGUGGUUGCUCAUAUUUGUAACUCAAAACAGGAACUACGGAAUAGACGGAGACUGGCAAAGGACGAGGUGACGAUGCGCGUCGGGAAUGGUUCCAAGGUCGAUGUGAUCGCCGUCGGCACGCUACCUCUGCAUCUACCCACGGGAUUAGUUUUAAACCUCAAUAAUUGUUAUUUAGUACCAGCUUUGAGCAUGAACAUUGUAUCUGGAUCUCGUUUAAUUCGAGAUGGCUACUCAUUUAAAUCCGAGAAUAAUGGUUGUUCUAUUUAUUUGAGAGAUAUGUUUUAUGGUCAUGCCCCGCUGGUCAAUGGUUUAUUUUUGAUGAAUCUCGAACGUGAUGUUACACAUGUUCAUAGUGUGAAUACCAAAAGAUGUAAAGUUGAUAACGAUAGUCCCACAUACUUGUGGCACUGCCGCCUUGGUCACAUUGGUGUCAAGCGCAUGAAGAAGCUCCAUGCAGAUGGACUUUUGGAGUCUCUUGAUUACGAAUCAUUUGACACGUGCGAACCAUGCCUCAUGGGUAAGAUGACCAAGACUCCGUUCUCCGGAACAAUGGAGCGAGCAACCAACUUAUUGGAAAUCAUACAUACCGAUGUGUGCGGUCCAAUGAGUGUUGAGGCUCGCGGAGGAUAUCGUUAUGUUCUCACUAUCACUGAUGAUUUAAGUAGAUAUGGGUAUGUAUACCUAAUGAAACACAAGUCUGAAACCUUUGAAAAGUUCAAGGAAUUUCAGAGUGAAGUCGAGAAUCAACGUGACAGGAAAAUAAAAUUCUUACGAUCAGAUCGUGGUGGAGAAUAUUUAAGUCACGAAUUUGGUACACACUUAAGGAAAUGUGGAAUAGUUUCACAACUCACGCCGCCUGGAACACCUCAGAGAAAUGGUGUGUCCGAACGUCGUAAUCGCACUCUAUUGGAUAUGGUGCGAUCUAUGAUGUCUCUUACCGAUUUACCGCUCUCAUUUUGGGGUUAUGCUUUAGAGACUGCCGCAUUCACUUUAAAUAGGGCUCCGUCGAAAUCCGUUGAGACGACACCGUAUGAAUUAUGGUUUGGGAAGAAACCUAAGCUGUCGUUUCUAAAAGUUUGGGGAUGCGAUGCUUAUGUCAAGAAACUUCAACCUGAAAAGCUCGAACCCAAAUCGGAAAAAUGCGUCUUCAUAGGAUACCCUAAGGAAACUAUUGGGUACACCUUCUACCUCAGAUCCGAAGGCAAGAUCUUCGUUGCCAAGAAUGGGUCCUUUCUAGAGAAGGAGUUUCUCUCGAAAGAAUUGAGUGGGAGGAAAGUGGAACUUGAUGAGGUGAUAGUCACCCCUUCCGAACCGGAAAGUAGCGCAGCGCGGGAAAAUGUUCCUGUGGUGCCUACACCGACUGGGGAGGAAGUUAAUGAUGAUGAUCAUGAAGCUUCGGAUCAAGUUACUGAACUUCGUAGGUCCACAAGGACACGUUCCGCACCAGAGUGGUACGGCAACCCUGUCCUGGAAAUCAUGUUGUUAGACAACGGUGAACCUUCAAACUAUGAAGAAGCGAUGGCGGGCCCGGAUUCCGACAAAUGGCUAGAAGCCAUGAAAUCCGAGAUAGAAUCCAUGUAUGAAAACAAAGUAUGGACUUUGACUGACUUGCCCGAUGAGCGGCGAGCCAUAGAAAACAAAUGGAUCUUUAAGAAGAAGACGGACGCGGAUGGUAAUGUGAGCAUCUACAAAGCUCGACUUGUCGCUAAGGGUUAUCGACAAGUUCAAGGGGUUGACUACGAUGAGACUUUCUCACCCGUAGCGAAGCUGAAGUCCGUCUGAAUCAUGUUAGCAAUUGCUGCAUACUAUGAUUAUGAGAUAUGGAAGAUGGACGUCAAAACGGCAUUCCUUAACGGCUUCCUUAAGGAAGAGUUGUAUAUGAUGCAGCCGGAAGGUUUUGUCGAUCCUAAGAAUGCUAACAAAGUAUGCAAGCUCCAACGCUCAAUCUAUGGGCUGGUGCAAGCAUCUCGGAGUUGGAACAUUCGCUUUGAUGAGAUGAUCAAAGCGUUUGGGUUUACACAGACUUAUGGAGAAGCCUGUGUUUACAAGAAAGUGAGUGGGAGCUCUGUAGCAUUUCUCAUAUUAUAUGUGGAUGAAAUACUAUGAUGGGAAAUGAUAUAGAAUUCUUGGAAAGUAUAAAGGCCUAUUUGAAUAAGUGUUUUUCAAUGAAGGACCUUGGAGAAGCUGCUUAUAUAUUAGGCAUCAAGAUCUAUAGGGAUAGAUCAAGACGCCUCAUUGGUCUUUCACAGAGUACAUACCUUGACAAGAUAUUGAAGAAGUUCAAUAUGGAUCAGUCCAAGAAGGGGUUCUUGCCUGUAUUGCAAGGUGUGCAGUUGAGCACGGCUCAAUGCCCGACCACGGCAGAAGAUAGAGAAAAGAUGAGUGUGAUCCCCUAUGCCUCGGCCAUAGGGUCUAUUAUGUAUGCCAUGCUGUGUACCAGACCUGAUGUAAACCUUGCCGUAAGUUUGGUAGGAAGGUACCAAAGUAAUCCCGGCAUGGAACACUAGACAGCGGUCAAGAAUAUCCUGAAGUACCUGAAGAGGACUAAGGAUAUGUUUCUCGUUUAUGGAGGUGACGAAGAUCUUGACUAGUCCGUCUCACGUGAUGAUCGGACACGGCCUAGUUAACUCGGAUCAUGUUUCACUUAGAUGACUAGAGGGAUGUCUAUCUGAGUGGGAGUUCAUUGAAUAAUUUGAUUAUAUGAACUUAAUUAUCAUGAACUUAGUCUAAAAUCUUUACAAUAUGUCUUGUAGAUCAAAUGGCCCACGUUGUCCUCAACUUCAACGCGUUCCUAGAGAAAACCAAGCUGAAAGAUGAUGGCAGCAACUAUACGGACUGGGUCCGGAACCUGAGGAUCAUCCUCAUAGCAGCCAAGAAAGAUUAUGUCCUAGAAGCACCGCUAGGUGAAGCACCAAUCCUAGAGAACCAAGACGUUAUGAACGCUUGGCAAUCACGUGCUGAUGAUUACUCCCUCGUUCAGUGCGGCAUGCUUUACAGCUUAGAACCGGGGCUCCAAAAGCGUUUUGAGAAGCAUGGAGCAUAUGAGAUGUUCGAAGAGCUGAAAAUGGUUUUCCAAGCUCAUGCCCGGGUCGAGAGAUAUGAAGUCUCUGACAAGUUCUUCAGCUGUAAAAUGGAGGAGAAUAGUUCUGUUAGUGAGCACAUACUCAGAAUGUCUGGGUUACACAACCGCUUGUCUCAGCUGGGAGUUAAUCUCCCGGAUGACGCGGUCAUUGACAGAAUCCUUCAGUCGCUUCCACCAAGCUACAAGAGCUUUGUGAUGAACUUCAAUAUGCAGGGGAUGGAAAAGACCAUUCCUGAGGUAUAUUCGAUGCUGAAAUCAGCGGAGGUGGAGAUCAGAAAAGAACAUCAAGUGUUGAUGGUGAAUAAAACCACUAAGUUCAAGAAGGGCAAGGGUAAGAAGAACUUCAAGAAGGACGGCAAGGGAGUUGCCGCGCCCGGUAAGCCAGUUACCGGGAAGAAGUCAAAGAAUGGACCCAAGCCUGAGACUGAGUGCUUUUAUUGCAAGGGAAGUGGUCACUGGAAGCGGAACUGCCCCAAAUACUUAGCGGACAAGAAGGCCGGCAACACCAAAGGUAUAUGUGAUAUACAUGUAAUUGAUGUGUACCUUACCAGUACUCGUAGUAGCUCCUGGGUAUUUGAUACCGGUGCGGUUGCUCAUAUUUGUAACUCAAAACAGGAACUGCGGAAUAAGCGGAGACUGGCGAAGGACGAGGUGACGAUGCGCGUCGGGAAUGGUUCCAAGGUCGAUGUGAUCGCCGUCGGCACGCUACCUCUGCAUUUACCUACGGGAUUAGUUUUAAACCUCAAUAAUUGUUAUUUAGUGCCAGCUUUGAGCAUGAACAUUGUAUCUGGAUCUCGUUUAAUUCGAGAUGGCUACUCAUUUAAAUCCGAGAAUAAUGGUUGUUCUAUUUAUAUGAGAGAUAUGUUUUAUGGUCAUGCCCCGCUGGUCAAUGGUUUAUUCUUGAUGAAUCUCGAACGUGAUGUUACACAUAUUCAUAGCGUGAAUACCAAAAGAUGUAAAGUUGAUAACGAUAGUCCCACAUACUUGUGGCACUGCCGCCUUGGUCACAUUGGUGUCAAGCGCAUGAAGAAGCUCCAUGCAGAUGGACUUUUGGAGUCUCUUGAUUACGAAUCAUUUGACACGUGCGAACCAUGCCUCAUGGGUAAGAUGACCAAGACUCCGUUCUCCGGAACAAUGGAGCGAGCAACCAACUUAUUGGAAAUCAUACAUACCGAUGUGUGUGGUCCAAUGAGUGUUGAGGCUCGCGGAGGAUAUCGUUAUGUUCUCACUCUCACUAAUGAUUUAAGUAGAUAUGGGUAUGUCUACCUAAUGAAACACAAGUCUGAAACCUUUGAAAAGUUCAAGGAAUUUCAGAGUGAAGUUGAGAAUCAACGUGACAGGAAAAUAAAAUUCUUACGAUCAGAUCGUGGUGGAGAAUAUUUAAGUCACGAAUUGUAACAUCCCAAAUUUUCAAUUUGGUAUGUUAUACAUAGAUCAUCAUUGCAUAUCAUGUUUUAUUGCAUUUUGACAAAUCCUCGAUAAAUCCUAAGCAACUCAAGGACCCUCGGAGAGAGUUGGGGAUUUUCUCGAAUUUUUAAAUUUGAUUUUCAUCAAAUAUUAAGACGAGGAUUUUGGUUUUAAUUAUUUUCUCUCCGGAAAAAUAUUUCAUCUUAUACAUAAACGAGAGGAGAAAAUAUGACUUCUCCAAAACAAUUGAAAUACUGGAGGAAAAAUGUUAAAAUCAUUUAUUGGAAUUUAUUUGGAUUUUAUUUGCAAUUUUUAUUGCAUUAAAAAUAUUGCAUGUUUUUAAAAUAUUUAUUUUGUGUUAAAAAACUGUUCACCCUAUUCUAGAUUUUCUAACUAGACGGGGAAAAUUUAUUUUAUAUUUUUCUGACUUUUAUUUAUUUUUCUAUGAAUUAUUUUCCGCGGAACGUUUUAAAAAAAACACGCGCGUGCCCGCCGGGCCAAGCCCAGCCGCCAGGCCGCCGGCCCACCCCGCGCCCCUCUCCUCUCCCCGCACGGCCGCCGCCGCCGCCGUGNNNNNNNNNNNNNNNNNNNNNNNNNNNNNNNNNNNNNNNNNNNNNNNNNNNNNNNNNNNNNNNNNNNNNNNNNNNNNNNNNNNNNNNNNNNNNNNNNNNNNNNNNNNNNNNNNNNNNNNNNNNNNNNNNNNNNNNNNNNNNNNNNNNNNNNNNNNNNNNNNNNNNNNNNNNNNNNNNNNNNNNNNNNNNNNNNNNNNNNNNNNNNNNNNNNNNNNNNNNNNNNNNNNNNNNNNNNNNNNNNNNNNNNNNNNNNNNNNNNNNNNNNNNNNNNNNNNNNNNNNNNNNNNNNNNNNNNNNNNNNNNNNNNNNNNNNNNNNNNNNNNNNNNNNNNNNNNNNNNNNNNNNNNNNNNNNNNNNNNNNNNNNNNNNNNNNNNNNNNNNNNNNNNNNNNNNNNNNNNNNNNNNNNNNNNNNNNNNNNNNNNNNNNNNNNNNNNNNNNNNNNNNNNNNNNNNNNNNNNNNNNNNGGAGCCCCGCCGGAGCACUACCCCGACGAGGUACUGCCUCACUGCCCCGUUCGUCGUUGCCGGUUUUUGUUAAAAAAAACCCUUAGUUUUUUAAAAAGAAAAAAAACCUAGAUCGGUUUUUUUUCGGUUUUAUUAUUUUGCGAGCGUUCACCGAACCGUUCGUUUUAACGAACGCGUUCGUCGGUUUUUCUCUGUUAACGAACGUCCGUUCUUUAACCGUUCGUCCGUUUUUCUUUUUCGUCGGAUUUUUCUGCGAUUAUCUCAGAUUCGAUUCCUGAUCGAAUCUUCGUUUCUGUUUAACUUUUCGCUCGUUUAUCGGAAUCAGGCGAUUCAAGCGCCUAGAGUUUCGUCUCGAAAUUCUCUUUCCGUUUAACCUACUCAAACAAGUUUUUGCUACAGUAAAAUUUGACCUAGAUCCAGAUUAGUAAACAAAGUUUCUUUCUUUCGCAGUUUGACUUUCGUUAUUUCUUUCGAGUUGAUUCUUUUUGCAAACCGGAGUUCUUAAGUUGAACUUUCUGGUUGGAUCUUUCAUUCGAGUUUUACCUGUGCAUUAGAUGAGUACUGAUUGUAUGCUUGUUUGUUUGCGAUAGAGUACCCGGAGUGUGCCGCUUGUUACUUCGAAUCGCUAGGUUUUGCGGAUCAUCGGCAAGGCAAGUAACACUUUGAUCAUACCUUUCCAUACCCAGUUUUAUUGCAUUAGAUCUAUUCCUCAAACAUUGCAUGACUAGGAUCUAAUUAAAUUGUGGGUAUUGGGAAGUAGUUGAGGUAGCACCUAUUACCUGUAUUCUUAUCAAACCCUUGGGAGUUACUUCUACGUUGCUUUUAUUAUUGCCAUGCUAUGCUCGUAGACGUGGAUUGGGUUUGAGUGAAAUUCAUGACAGAUGUGAGAUUGUUAACAAUGGUUUACCUAAGGUGGCAACUAAAACUCACAUCUGGGUGGAUUGAGGUACCUGGGUAUUCCAGGAUUGCCUGUUUUUCUUUUGGACCGCCACCCAGGUUCCAAGGGAUCAUAAGAUUAUUCAUGCUAGAAACUUCCGUGUGCAGCCGCAAGCUAUUAUGGGCUCUAGCAUAGUUGAUUAAGUUGUGUGAACUCUUACAGUGGUAGACUAGCAGAUGUAGGGGAAAGUAGGUGUAACUGUCUACCCAUACGUAAAGUGCAAACACUUCUGAAAGACUGUGUCUUGGUCAUCCGUUACUCAAACACCAUGUAGUGCGAGUAAUCCAACGGAGGAGAUCAAGUCUUGUGGGGAAAAGUGCACAAACCUCUGCAGAGUGUACAAACUAAUCAUGGUUAGCCAUGUCCCCGGUUAUGGACAACUUGAGUAUCUAGUACUUGGAUUAUCAUGUGAAUCUCAUCACUAUGUUACUUCUAAUUAAUUUUGUUGGGUUAUUGAUGACAUUUAAUUGGGAUUGAGAUGCUGUCAACCAUCUCAAUGUUUCACAACCACCAUGAUAGUUAAAUAAAAUUUAUUCCUUUGAAGUAGGAUAAAAUUGGCUUUUCGCAAAAAUUGAAACCAUAGAGCUUUCCACCAGCCAUAUAUGCAUGUAGUAUAGCCUUAUUAUUGUUCAUUAUUCUCUAUGUGUUACAUUGCCAGCAUAUUCUAUGUGCUGACCCGUUUACGGGCUGCAACGUUUCAUGUUGCAGACUCUUCAGACGACGAGUAAGGUGCCUUAGGUCGUGGUCUUAUACUCAGUGAUGCCGCUGGAGUUGAUGGACUCACUUAUCUUCCAAGUCUUCCGCUGUUAUCGUUAUUAGAUGGCCUUAAGCCAUGUUUAUCAUACUUAAUAUCUUUGGAGAUAUUCGAUGUAAUAAGUGUGUGAUUGCUACUCUGUUAUAAAUCCUCCAUUUGUACUGUGCGUGUCAGCAUUACUGAUCCAGGGAUGACACUGGUGCACAGCAGCACAGACCAUUUGAGGUCUGGUCGCUACAAAGUUGGUAUCAGAGCACACGCUGACUGUAGGACACGACCACUAAGCUUAAGCCCUAGAAAGCUUCUCUCUUCUCAUUUCUGACCCCUAUCCACUUUCUACUCUUUUAGGAAUGGCGAAUGCAAGGAGCAAGUUCAUGCAACCAGAUGAAGACACGCCGUUUGGUCGACACUUGAAGGAAGUCACCAAGUACUUGAACAUAGGAAUACCAAGCAUCACCGGAACCUACAACGCCACAUUACCUGAAGAGGAGAGCUGGAAGAUUCAAGUUCACAUUCCAGGAAGGACGUUUGUGCCAGUUACUGAACCCAUAAGAUUGGUUUUCGAAGCACCAACCUGGAGUUUAGGGAAGAGCAUGGCCGCACACGUCGCCAUGAGACGCAUUGGAGAAGUCUACCACCAGGAGCUUAAGGAUACAAUUUACCAAAUUUGUGGACGCCGAGACGCGCAAUGGGAGAUGAUCAGAACCAAGAAGGAUGGAUCAAUUGCAGCUUUCAUCCAGGAGGAGAACCAACACAUUCGUCGCCAGGAGAACCAGAUGUGCACGGACAAGGAAGAACUGAAGAAGGCAUUGACGAAGAUCAAGGAGCUGGAGGAAGAACUCAAGGCUACACGCGAGGAUUAUUUGGAAGAAAUCAACGCACUAGUAGGGAAGAAUGACGACCUAGAGAAGAAGAUUGGAAUAUUCAUGGGAAAUCCAGUGCCAAAGGCAGAAGUCGACGAAUGCACUUGUCCGGAUAACUACAUCAUCAUCGACGACACUGACUCGGAACCAAGUGAAUAUGACUGGGUUGACGAAGCUGGAGCAGACAUCAUGGAGUCUUCAACGGAUCAGAAUUUCUAGUAGACCACCAUAUCAGUAGUAGUUUUCCCCCAUUUAAUAGUAUAGUUCAAGCACUUUGUAACGCUAGCUAGAUCGAUUGUUUUGCCUUGUUUGAAUUGAUUGAGUGAUAUUGAUUGAAUUUGUCUCAUGAGCAUAUGGGUAGUGUUUUCUCUCUAGACCUCAUUCUAUUCUUAACUCUCAUCUUUUCUAAACCUAUCAGAUGCCUCCGAGACGCGACACCGGAUUUGUUUUCCCGCCAGAGAUCACCCAGUUGAUUCAGCAACAGAAUGCCCUGAUGCAAGUGUUAGUGCAGAACCAAGGCAACAACAACAACAACAACCCACCGCCACCACCACCUGUUGAUCACUUAGCCCGUUUCUUAAGGCUAAACCCGUCGGUGUUUUCCAGUAGCACCGAGCCGAUUGUAGCAGAUGAUUGGCUCCGCAAAGUUGGAAGGGAGUUGACCACUGCAAGAUGCACAGAUGCGGAAAGAGUGCGUUUUGCCGCACAUCAGCUUGAUGGACCCGCAGCAUCAUGGUGGGAGAAUUAUACAGCCACGCACCCUAUUGACACUGUCACAUGGGACCAGUUUCAGCAAGCUUUCCGUACAGCACAUCUUUCAGCAGGAGCUAUGGCUAUGAAGAAGCGUGAGUUUCGCAGCCUACACCAAGGAGGACGCACCGUAGGCCAGUAUGUGGAGGAUUUCAGUAAGCUAGCACGUUAUGCACCAGAUGACGUUGCUACAGAUGCAGCCAAGCAGGAGAAAUUUUUGGAAGGGCUGAAUGAUGAACUGAGUAUGCAGUUGAUGGUAGCAACCUUCAACAACUACCAGGAGCUGGUAGAUAGAGCUCUCAUGAUUGAAGGGAAGCAACAGCAGAUUGAAAACCGUAAGAGGAAGUAUGGACAAGGGAAGUAUAACUCAGGAGCUCAGCAGAAGCCUCGAUUUACCCCGAAGCCGGGAGGACAGUUUCAGCAUACCCAUGGAGGAGGUAGUUCGCACAACCAUAAUGGCUCUAAAAAUGGUAAUGGGAAUGGAGGAAGCAACGGACAGAACCGCACCAACCCAUCUACCCCAGCCAAGAGGGACCUGAGCCAAGUCACUUGUUUCAAGUGCCAGAAGAAUGGACAUUAUGCCAAUGAAUGUCCUGAAGCCCAAAAUGGAAAUGGCAAUGGAAGCUCUGGGAAGAAGCCGAACCCGUUCAACAAAGGACACGUGAACCACGUGAGCGUGGAGGAGGUUGAAGCUCAGCCUGAUGCAGUAAUAGGUAAGUUCUUGGUUAAGUCAUUUACUGCAACCGUUCUUUUCGAUACUGGUGCAUCGCAUUCAUACAUAUCAAGGGGAUUUGUGAAUAAGUUUAAGAUGUCCACCAAAGUUCUCAGAAACCCUAUGUUAGUAACCUCGCCAGGAGCAGAGUAUAUGGCCACCCAAGGAUGUUUUCAGAUACCAUUGGCCAUUGGUAGGCAUGUUUUCCCCUCAGACCUCAUAGUUUUGGAGUCGCAAGGUUUGGAUGUGAUUUUGGGGAUGGAUUGGCUAUCGUUGUAUGGAGGAAACAUCGAUUGUGCCAGCAAGACGAUUUUGCUUACCACCCCGGAAGGGAAAAGGAUCAAGUAUGUAUCCCGACAUAUGCCGAAGAGGACUCAAGUAAAUUCCUUAUCAGGAGUUGUACAGGAGGAAGUACCAGUGGUGAAGGAUUAUCCGGAUGUAUUUCCAGAAGAGUUGCCAGGCAUGCCACCAGAUAGGGACAUUGAGUUUUUGAUUGAACUUUUGCCAGGCACAGGGCCAAUAUCUAAGAGACCGUACAGGAUGCCCGCAAAAGAUUUGGAGGAAAUUAAGAAGCAGAUCAAGGAGUUACUGGAUAAAGGCUAUAUUCGCCCAAGUUCGUCACCUUGGGGAUCACCAGUACUUCUAGUGGAGAAGAAAGAUGGAUCGCUGAGGAUGGUUGUUGAUUACCGUGGAUUGAAUGAAGUAACCAUCAAAAACAAGUACCCACUGCCGAUGAUCAAUGAUUUGUUUGACCGCCUACAAGGAGCUAAAGUAUUUUCCAAGAUCGAUCUACGAUCAGGAUAUCAUCAGUUAAAGAUUCGAGAGCAGGAUAUACCAAAGACGGCUUUUACCACCAGAUAUGGAUUGUAUGAGUAUACCGUUAUGUCAUUUGGUCUGACUAACGCACCUGCCUAUUUCGAGAGCCGGAAGGUUUUGUCGAUCCUAAGAAUGCUAACAAAGUAUGCAAGCUCCAGCGCUCAAUCUAUGGGCUGGUGCAAGCAUCUCGGAGUUGGAACAUUCGCUUUGAUGAGAUGAUCAAAGCGUUUGGGUUUACACAGACUUAUGGAGAAGCCUGUGUUUACAAGAAAGUGAGUGGGAGCUCUGUAGCAUUUCUCAUAUUAUAUGUGGAUGACAUAUUAUUGAUGGGAAAUGAUAUAGAAUUCUUGGAAAGAGUAAAGGCCUAAUUGAAUAAGUGUUUUUCAAUGAAGGACCUUGGAGAAGCUGCUUAUAUAUUAGGCAUCAAGAUCUAUAGAGUUAGAUCAAGACGCCUCAUUGGUCUUUCACAGAGUACAUACCUUGACAAAAUAUUGAAGAAGUUCAAUAUGGAUCAGUCCAAGAAGGGGUUCUUGCCUGUAUUGCAAGGUGUGCAGUUGAGCAUGGCUCAAUGUCCGACCACGGCAGAAGAUAGAGAAAAGAUGAGUGUCAUCCCCUAUGCCUCGGCCAUAGGGUCUAUUAUGUAUGCCAUGCUGUGUACCAGACCUGAUGUAAACCUUGCCGUAAGUUUGGUAGGAAGGUACCAAAGUAAUCCCGGCAUGGAACACUGGACAGCGGUCAAGAAUAUCCUGAAGUACCUGAAGAGGACUAAGGAUAUGUUUCUCGUUUAUGGAUGUGACGAAGAGCUCGUCGUAAAGGGUUACGUCGACGCUAGCUUCGACACAGAUCUGGAUGACUCGAAGUCACAAACCGGAUACGUGUAUAUUUUGAAUGGAGGAGCAGUAAGCUGGUGCAGUUGCAAGCAAAGCGUCGUGGCGGGAUCUACAUGUGAAGCGGAGUACAUGGCAGCCUCGGAGGCAGCACAGGAAGCAGUCUGGAUGAAGGAGUUCAUUACCGACCUAGGGGUGAUUCCCAAUGCGUCGGGCCCGAUGACUCUCUUCUGUGACAACACUGGAGCUAUUGCCCUUGCGAAGGAGCCCAGGUUUCACAGGAAGACCAGGCAUAUCAAGCGUCGCUUCAACUCCAUUCGUGAAAGUGUUCAAAAUGGAGACAUAGAUAUUUGUAAAGUACAUACGGACCUGAAUGUAGCAGAUCCGUUGACUAAACCUCUCCCUAGAGCAAAACAUGAUCAACACCAGGACGCAAUGGGUGUUCGAUUCAUCACAAUGUAACUAGAUUAUUGACUCUAGUGCAAGUGGGAGACUGUUGGAAAUAUGCCCUAGAGGCAAUAAUAAAUGGUUAUUAUUAUAUUUCUUUGUUCAUGAUAAUCGUCUAUUGAUCAUGCUAUAAUUGUAUUGUCCGGUAAUCAUAAUACAUGUGUGAAUGCAUAGACCACAACGUGUCCCUAGUAAGCCUCUAGUUGACUAGCUCGUUGAUCAAUAGAUAGUCAUGGUUCCUGACUAUGGACAUUGGAUGUCAUUGAUAACAGGAUCACAUCAUUAGGAGAAUGAUGUGAUGGACAAGACCCAAUCCUAAGCAUAGCAUAAAAGAUCGUGUAGUUUCGUUUGCUAGAGCUUUUCCAAUGUCAAGUAUCUUUUCCUUAGACCAUGAGAUCGUGCAACUCCCGGAUACCGUAGGAGUGCUUUGGGUGUGCCAAACGUCACAACGUAACUGGGUGACUAUAAAGGUGCACUACGGGUAUCUCCGAAAGUGUUUGUUGGGUUGGCAUGGAUCGAGACUGGGAUUUGUCACUCCGUGUGACGGAGAGGUAUCUCUGGGCCCACUCGGUAAUGCAUCAUCAUAAUGAGCUCAAUGUGACUAAGGGUUAGUCACGGGAUCAUGCAUUGCGGUACGAGUAAAGAGACUUGCCGGUAACGAGAUUGAACAAGGUAUUGGGAUACCGACGAUCGAAUCUCGGGCAAGUAACAUACCGAUUAACAAAGGGAAUUGCAUACGGGAUUGAUUGAAUCCUCGACACCGUGGUUCAUCCGAUGAGAUCAUCGUGGAACAUGUGGGAGCCAACAUGGGUAUCCAGAUCCCGCUGUUGGUUAUUGACCGGAGAGGCGUCUCGGUCAUGUCAGCUUGUCUCCCGAACCCGUAGGGUCUACACACUUAAGGUUCGGUGACGCUAGGGUUGUAGAGAUAUGUGUAUGCGGAAACCCGAAAGUUGUUCGGAGUCCCGGAUGAGAUCCCGGACGUCACGAGAGGUUCCGGAAUGGUCCGGAGGUGAAGAAUUAUAUAUAGGAAGUCAAGUUUCGGCCACCGGGAAAGUUUCGGGGGUUACCGGUAUUGUACCGGGACCACCGGAAGGGUCCCCGGGGUCCACCGGGUGGGGCCACCUAUCCCGGAGGGCCCCGUGGGCUGAAGUGGGAAGGGAACCAGCCCCUAGUGGGCUGGGCGCCCCCCAUGGGCCUCCCCCCAUGCGCCUAGGGUUGGGAACCCUAGGGUGGGGGGGCUUCCCACUUGCCUUGGGGGGCAAGGCACCCCCUUUCCCCCUUUGGCCGCCGCCCCCCCUUGAGAUCCCAUCUCCAGGGCCGGCGCCCCCCCAGGGGGCCUAUAUAAAGGGGGGGAGGGCAGCAACAAGACAGCCUUGGGCGCCUCCCUCCUCCCCUGCUACACCUCUCCGUCUCGCAGAAGCUCGGCGAAGCCCUGCCGAGACCCGCUACAUCCACCACCACGCCGUCGUGCUGCUGGAUCUCCAUCAACCUCUCCUUCCCCCUUGCUGGAUCAAGAGGAGACGUCGCUGCACCGUACGUGUGUUGAACACGGAGGUGCCGUCCGUUCGGCACUCGGUCAUCGGUGAUUUGGAUCACGGCGAGUACGACUCCGUCAUCCACGUUCAUUGGAACGCUUCCGCUCGCGAUCUACAAGGGUAUGUAGAUGCACUCCUUUCCCCUCGUUGCUAGCAUACUCCAUAGAUGCAUCUUGGUGAGCGUAGGAAAAUUUUAAAUUAUGCUACGAUUCCCAACAAUUUCAGCCCAACCGACGAUGGACUCGUCGGAGCCCGACAAUUUUUUACCAAGGUGCUCCAAUUCUGCUCAAAUCCCCUCCAAUUUUCGGCGACCAACCCCGAUUCCGACCGAUUUUGAUCAAUUCCUACGUAGGCUACCGAGCGGGGCAUGGGGCGAGCAGCCAAACGGGUCCGCAUGCGCGCGUGAACAGGGGAGAGGGGUGGGGCCGCGGGCGUGCGUGAACAGGGGAGAAGGGUGGAGCCGCCGACGCGCGUGAACAGAGGAGAGGGGUGGGGCCGCGGGCGCACGUGAACACGGGAGAGGGGUGGGUCGCCGGCGUGCGUGAACAGAGAAGAUGGGUGGGGCCGUGGGCGCGCAUGAACAAGGGAGAGGGGUGGGGCCGUGGGCGCGCAUGAACAAGGGAGAGGGGUGGGGCCGCGGUGCACGCUGGGGGUUAGCCGGCCGGGGCGCCCGCCCACGAGCCGCGCGCGAGAAGGAAAGCGGGUCGGGGUUGUGGGCAGGAGCUCGAAGGCGGCUGGCCGCGGUGCGGACAUCCACUAGAUCAAGAUCGGGUACAUGGUGACCUUCAAGUUGGUGACUCCCACGCCGUGAAGGUGAUCGUCUUCAACAACGACGGCAUUAAAGUGAUGACCAAGUUGCAGGAGGCACGACGACGCAUUCAUCGUGAACGUUUAUGAGAGCUCUAUAUUGCGCAUGCUGGUUUGGUUACGACUGUGUCAUAAUGGUUCGGUUGAAAACUACUUAAUUUAAGUGUCGUACUAUGUUUGAAAACUGUUUGAAUUGAUUUAAAACUAUGUUUAUAUGAUAUUUGUUUGUGUGUCAUUGGUUUGUUCCGCAUGCCUAGUGUAUUGAUAACCUCACCACCUUCACGAGGAAGUUACCAAACAACAUGCCCUGCAUGUAAUCAAACACCAUGACUUGUGUUUUCGCCUAAACAAGUGGGCAACCAAACAACCUACCUUUCGUUUCGUCCCACGCAGGCUAGAAGGUAUGCAGUCAACCAAACAAUAUACAGAUGUUAAUAUUUUUGCAUGUUUACUUUCAAUUGAGACAUAGAUGCAAUGCAAGCAAAAGUAGAUACGGCAAACAAACACACCCAUGGUGCCUAUCAUGUUUUCCAAAAAACGCACCUCCGAAGGUGGGAUUUUUUUUAACAGAAAUCCUCCGCUACAUUUUAUUUUAUUUUUCCCUGAAAAAAAAGAAGCGGAGGAUUUCUGCCACGAUACUAUCCGCACUGUGCGCGGAGCAUCUCUUCCCCGUAGGCACACACACGGCCGUCCCUGGACCCACCUGUCUUCCACGGACAUCGACUCACCCAUCUCCGAACCGCCCCCCCUCUGUCGCCACACCCCCGUCCCCACGCCCGCGGCGCAAAACCCCGCUAAAUUUUUCGCUCCGCCCGCCCCCAAGUCUCGCCACCGCCGCCAUCCUCCAAAUCGUCGGAGAAGAUAAUCCCCAGGACCCCCUUAGGGAUGUACGCCGACAUCCAGAAGGGUCGGCCGGGCUGCCGCCCCGUCGACGCCGCCUCCAUGGCGAAGCUCAUGAAGGUCUGGGCGAGGUACUUCCCCGAGGAAACCGAGCUCCAGGUCCCGGCGGACGACCCCAGGGCCAGGCUCGUCGGCGACCUGGUUAAGGUCCUGGAGCUGGAGGAGAGGGCCAAGCUCCUCCCACGUGUAAGCAUCUGUCUCCAUUCCCCGUAUAGCGCCUCAUUUUUGGCCCAUCUCUUAUGGUGACGCGAUUCUAGGGUUGCUUACUCGGUUCGGCCGCGACGAAAUUAUGGCGGUUGCUGCGCGACUGGUUGGUGCCUAGGGUUUAUCGGAUUGGCUGAUUGAUCGUUAGUUGAAAUUUUCUGGGAGUGGCAGCUGACAUUGUAACUGUAUAUAGUUAAAAUGCUUGCAGUCUCGUGCCUAAUGUCUGUUUGGUUCCAAUUAUUUAAGUUCCUGAGCUUGCCAUUGCUAGACAUUUAAUUGGGUACCAUUGUUAGUAAAAUGUGUGUUGGUUCCUUGCUGUUAGGGCAGAAUUUGGGUAAUAAUUUACUUAUCUGAUCGAAUCGACCUCGAAAUUUGGGGCAGAAUUUGUUUCUACAAUCUUCAAGAUCAAGGUCUCAAUGCGAUGGUGGCUCCUGGUAUAUGAAGUAGUGACAUAUCUAAUCAGAAAAGGGGAAUACUCUUCUUUAUUAGGAGGGAAAAGAAUCAAGAGGAGCUUGUAAUUUUGUGAAUAACUUUGAUACUUUUGUGCUCCACUUUGUCAGUAUCAUAAGAUUACUUAUACGUUUAUACCCCAAUGUGCUGCUGCGAUAACUACCUAAAGCACGACGCAAUGUUCCAAUUGAAAAAUGAAAUCAUGGCAUCAUGUAGUUGCACAAUAAAUUACUAAUCGGGUGGAAAUGAUUUAAACACAUCGCUUCAUAGUGUGCUUUUGUCAUUACAUGGAAAAAUAUUUCCGGUUCCAGCAAAUGAACGAAUUCAUGUUAUUAUAACUUAUGACUACAUUCACAGGUUGAAGAUGAUGGUGUUGUCUUCUUCCUUCCGAUUGAUUUCCAGCAGCUUAAGAACUUGUGCGGUGGUACCAACCUCUUAGAUGCUCUCAGGGAAAAUCCUAAAGAAGCCUUGCUUUGCAUGGGAGUUGCAGUUCAUCUGGUUGAUGCUUCAUUUCAUGCUAAAAUUAUUAGUGUUGUCAGUUGUGCUUUGUUUUUUCACUCGCUGGACUUUGAUUCUUGAUGUUUUCUUCAGGUUAAGUGCUCGGGCAAUGGCCUCCAGUUGAGCGACGUAGACAAGGUCAAUAUCAGGCUUUACAACCACACCGAGACAAUAAUUGCUUUGAAGAAUUUGAAAGCGGCCUAUAUUAGUAAGAACUUCUGUCUUUAUCCGUGUGUUCUGCAUCUAAAUGAAGUACUGACUUGUUGAUUCACCUCAUAGAGAAACUAGUGACAGUGCGUGGUACUGUUGUAAAAGUCAGUACUGUGAAACCUCUAGUUCUGGCGCUGGAGUUCAAAUGCAUGAAGUGUGCUACAGUCAUCCGUCGUGUGUUCUCUGACGGGAAAUUUUCACCUCCAGUAUCCUGCAUAAUUCAGGGCUGCAAGGGCAGAACCUUCACCCCAUUGAGAUCUACUGCCAAGUUGAUAGAUUUUCAGAAAAUAAGGCAAGUGAUAAAUAGAUAAUCUGUGUCAUUCUCUGCUUAUAACACUAAGCUCUGUUUUUAUUAUUUUCAAUCCAGGAUACAGGAGCUUUCUAGUGCUGAAAACCGUGAAGAAGGCCGAGUGCCACGAACUAUAGAAUGUGAGCUUAUAGAAGAUCUUGUAGAUUGUUGCAUCCCUGGAGAGGUUGUAACGGUAGCUGGAAUCGUCAAAGUGCUGAACAACCAUAUGGAUGUUGGAGGAGGUACAAUUUUGAAGAAACUAGUAUCUUAUUUCUCGUUGUUCAUUUCUGAACCUUCCUGGAUACUAUAUUUUACAUUGUUUCAAAGCCUGAAUCCUCUUUGCAAAAAAAAUAAAAAUGCUAAUGUUCAGGUGUCCCAAAUUUCCUGCAACACCUGUAGAGCACAUAUGUUUUCAGUCUUUUGUUAAGGUUGUUCAGUAGUUUGGGUUGGUUGUCUAGUUCUGGUGCAUUAUGGACUACUAGGUGUAACCGUAUCAGGUAGUUCACAAGAACAAUUAUCAAGUUCCAUGUUACUCUUAGGGAAAACCUAUCUCCUGCUACGUUUGUUAUCCCUAAAACCUCUCCUCAUUUUAUCUUUACCUUAACCAAAACAUUCACUCUUUUUUAGACAUUGUUGCUUUCUAUGAUUUCCUUUAAUAUAAGACUCAAGAAUUGUUUGUAGAACAAUGAUGAUAGCCAAAAGGUUACUAUGUGUGGCGUCCAUGUCCUUGCCACAUGCAAUAGUCGUGAUGAUUUCUCUGUCAUGCACGGUAUCCCAUACAAAAGGCCAUGCACGCCACACAAAGCAGGAAAGUGUCGGAUCAACAGACCAUGUCAGCAAUGAGACGUGUCCAGGAGGGAUAUGUCGGGACAGACUCGGUGCUCCUGGAGGCAGCAUCCACUGCCACUGUCUUGCCGCAGCCAAAAGUUGUGGGUGAGGGGAGGACAAGUUCAAUCCCCAUGCCUCCUCAGUGCCAUCAAGGGUUAGACUGUUAGAGCAGAUUAUAGGUGGUAGGUGCAACAUAUCGGCUGGAUGGGAGAUACAAAGAGUGAGAGAUAGAGGUGAAUUGCGUCUUCAUUGAUUUAAUAUAUUACUCCCUCCGUUCCAAAUUACUCGUCGCAGAAAUGGAUGUAUCUAGAACUAAAAUACAUCUAGAUACAUCCAUACAUGCGACAAGUAAUUCGGAACGGAGGGAGUACAUUACAGUUCCUUUAUGUAGUCUCUACUGGCGUAUCUGUGUAUGACCUUAUACCUAAUAAUCCUAAGUUCCUAACUGACCACAACUCAUAUUUGAAUCUAGUUGCACUGUCCUGGACUGGUCUCGAGAUCAAUGAUACCAAUGGCAUUGAUCCGGGUGGACUAAUUGAAUGCACUGGAGCCCGAGUCAUAGACAGCCAGUAAUAGGUUUGGGUAGUUGCGGGAGCUGCAGCGUUGGCACAACUGGCCUGUAUUCUAGGCCCAGCUGAAUUGGGUUCAGCUGCUGCCCGUCUGGUGGUUAUACACCCCACAACUGAUCCCAUGAUCAUAUCCUGAUCUCUUGUGUAGUUCUUUCUGGUUCUACCAUGCAAACACAAUCAGUGAAGUUCAUAUUAGUCUGAUGCCGGUGCAUUCUUUUUCCAAAACAUUCUUGUUUGUACUAUGUAGAUGCAUAUUUUCUUAAAUUGUCCUGUGGAUAUAUACAUAUAUUUUUAAUAUCUUCAGGUAAGUCCAAAAGCAGAAAUCAGGGUUUAUACUACUUGUACUUGGAAGCAAUCUCAGUAAGGAACUCCAAGGCCCAUGUUGUUUCAGAAAAUUCAGAUGCAAGUUCUACUGAUAUUCUGGCUACUGGAUCCUUCAGUUUCGAAACUUUUACUGAUAAGGAUCUUAAAUUCAUCACCGAAUAUAAUAGCGAGCAUGGUGCUGAUGUAUUUCGUCAAAUACUUCACUCCUUUUGCCCCUCCAUCUAUGGGCAUGAACUUGUAAAGGGUAAUUUUCUAUUCUAGUACACUGUUUUAAAUCCUAAUGUGGUAUUUUCUUGCAGUAAUUUAAUUAGAAGGUAUUUGCGCUGGCUAUUUAAUGUGAUUAAAUAUUUACAUUUUGUCUGCUCAGUGUUGUCCAAACAUUUGGAAAUAAAUCAAUCUGUUGUGCUCUCUUUAGUUUCUGUAUAUAAGAAAUGAUAACUAUUAUUUUAGCUUCAUUACUUGUGGACAUGUGCAGCGUUUUCAGUAACGAUUAUUUGAUUAUUCAUUAUUUCACGGUAAGUACUCUUGUGCCGUCUCCAAAAAAACCAAUUCAGCUGUGAGGAAUUGAUCAAGCUAUUAGUGCAGAGUUCAGUAAGGGGAUAUGUUCUCUUUCUUUUCAAGAGCCAGCGUUCUAAAGAAUGAAGGAAAGAAAAGAGUGCAAACUGUAUUUUUGAACGUAAAAAUAUUAAAUUAUCAAAAGUUCGACGAGUAGAAUAAAGACAUGCCUUAUUUUCUAAGAGAGCAAACAUCAAGAAUGAAUGUUUGUCCAUCUCCAGUUCUUCUUAUGAUCAAUACCUGCAUCUUCAUUAGUACAUGACGACCUAGCUACCGCUUGCUGACUUAAAUCUUGGUGGGAAGGCGGUGCCUAAUGCUUAGGCAGCCGUCUAGUCCAAUUUUAGAACACUGUCGAUAGUGCAGAGUUCUCAUUUCAGCGCAGUAGCAUUUGCUUGGAUGCCGCUUCUUCUGAUUCGUUUUGUUUCUUUGUUGCAUUAUAUUACUGGACAUGACUAAAUUAAUGUUUCUAAAUUUCAGCUGGUAUCACUCUUGCGCUUUUUGGUGCUGUGCAGAAGCAUUCAAUGGAUCAGAACAAAGUCCCAAUUAGAGGAGACAUCCAUGUUAUUAUUGUUGGUAAUCCUUAUAAUUUACCAAUCAUGAUCCAUGUAGUACAUGCUUAGCACUUCCCAGGAUGCAAUCAUACUCUUGCUUAAUGUUGUCGCAGGCGAUCCAGGACUAGGCAAGAGCCAAUUACUAAAAGCUGCAGCAUCUGUUUCCCCACGGGGAAUAUAUGUAUGCGGGAAUACAACCACAAAUGCUGGUCUAACAGUUGCUGUGGUUAAAGAUUCAAUGACAAAUGAUUAUGCAUUUGAGGCUGGUAAGCAUGGAAGAUUUAUUUGUUCCUCACACAUUCUGUGGAGAACCUUGUCAGAAAGUCAGCUAAUUCGAUCAUUUGUUGUCAUAUAAUUGGUUGUUCUACUGUUUUGUGGCCGAUGUGGUUUGAAGUCUUAGAAUUUGUGAUUGGAUCAAAAUAAUGUUAAGCUCUUGGCUUUACAGGGGCCAUGGUUCUUGCUGACCGUGGGCUAUGUUGCAUUGAUGAGUUUGACAAAAUGUCAGCAGAGUAUCAGGUAUUAUUUUUAGUUUUCACCUGAUACAACCUUCUUGGUGAAAUGUUCAUUCAGUAAAAGAUGUUCUAUACUUUCCUUGUUUGAAAUUGAAUUUGUGUUCUCAGUCCUUACUGGAAGCCAUGGAGCAGCAGUGUGUAUCUGUGGCAAAGGCUGGCCUUGUGGCGAGUUUAUCUGCCCGCACUUCUGUGCUGGCAGCUGCUAAUCCUGUUGGUGGUCAUUACGAGUGGGUUAAUCUUUUCCAUCCUUUGAUAAAAUUUUCUACCCCUGCUUAUCGUAUGAUGUUUGUCAUUCUGGAUAUGUUGUCUUCAUUCAUCUUUCCUUCUUCAAUUGAUACUCAUUACCUGUACUGUUAUCUCUGUGCGUAUGCGCGCGAUGUGCAAUUACUACAGUGUGAUUGUUUUUGUCAACGUAAUGUUCUUUUUGCACUCACACAACCACACAAGUCACCGUGCCUGGAACAGGCAGACCUGUAAGCAAAUACCAUUUCCUUGUGUAUUCUGGUGUUGUUCCUUAUUUUUGCUUGUCAGUGAGAUGUAGGUAACAGAUCUUAAAUUCCUGGGUUGUUUUCAACUUUUAGUAAUACUAUUUUUGCAGCCGAGGCAAAACAGUGAAUGAGAAUUUAAAGAUGAAUGCUGCCCUGCUCUCUCGGUUUGACCUGGUUUUCAUUUUACUUGACCAGCCAGACUUGUUUCUAGAUAAGAGAGUAUCAGACCACAUAAUGGCAGUAAGUUUUUGUUAUCCAUUUUUUGUCCACAUCUUAAGCAUAUAGUACCGAUGAGCAAUAUCACCACAUAUAAUAAAUGUGUCAGGGCUUUAAUCUAAUUAAAAAAACUAAGGAAAAAACAACAUUUUCUACACGCAGCUCCAUACCAAUGACAGAAGUCCUUGCUCAUCCAACAAGAGGCUAAGAACAGGUCAUUCUUUGGUUAUUCCAUAGCAUUUUUAGUUCCUUUUUACAUGUGAAACCGUAUACAUCGUUAUUGAUUUGCAACUUUGCCCCAUGCCCAGUGCCUCAAUUUAAUGGCAGUAUGGGGAUUGGAAUUGAUGAGAAAAAAUUAGCUUCAAGGCUGAGACUACACCCUGAGAAAGAUAGGGACUUUGUUCCGUUACCUGAACCACUUCUUCGCAAGUAUAUAUCUUACGCGAGAAGCUAUGUUACCCCCCGGUAUUUUGUCAGCUCCUUUUCACUUAUCAAUACCAUAUAUGUAAUGCAAUGAGUUCUCAUUUUGUUAUUUUUCUUCUCUCGGCUCAAGUGUGUCAGAACCAGCAGCGGUGGUACUGCGAAAAUAUUACUUGAAUUUGAGAGCGCAUAGUACUUGUUCUGAUGGCACACCCAUCACAGCGAGACAAUUGGAAAGCCUUGUGAGGUUAGCAGAAGCUCGCGCUCGGGUGGAUCUAAGAGAAGAAGUGACUGAACAAGAUGCGAAUGUAAAUAAGUAGAAUACUUACCCCCCGGUUCCCUCCUCCCCAUUUUGUACAUAUGCGCACCUUGCACCCUUGCACUGCCAGCUUGGAUUUCUUCAUACUUCAUACCUAAAUUACCAGCAGAGAAUUUUUCUGUUGGUUUAGGUUCUUGUCCAUGAUUGCUGGGAAAAUCUGAGUUCUUUCUCAUGCUAGUUUUCAUCCUCAGCAAAUUACUGAAUCAAACUCAGAAGCAUGAUGAAUUAUGUUUUUUAAUCUCCAUAUCAUGUCGAUGUUGCAGAUUUAUUUUUUCUGUCUGUUUGCUGCUUUAUAAAUCUGAAAAUGUGAACGUACGGUGCUUAUCGCAUGCCUAAGGCUUAUGCAAAGUGUUGUCUGGCAAAUAGACAGCCGGAUAGUUAGAUGACAUCAAGAGGCACACCUAUUUAAUAAAAAAUGGGCAUGCAAUCUCAUUCUGCGUUUUAUUAUGUUGCAGGAUGUUGUUGAGAUCAUGAAUGAAUCCUUAUAUGACAAAUAUGUUGAUGAGCAUGGUUGUGUGGACUAUGCUCGGAGUGGUGGGAUGAGCCAACAAAAGGAGGCAAAAAGACUUAUGAGUGCCUUAAACAAGCAAUCUGAGUUGCAGCAAAAGGAUCAGUUUUCAAGAGCCGUAAGCAAUUAUGCAUCUAAAAUAUUUUUGAUGAAAGGCUGGUCUGUUAUUGCAUAUACGCAAACCAACUGACAUGGAAAGAGUGCCAAUUUUAGUUCAGUUACAAUUCUGGUCCUGCUAUGAUCGACGAAAUUUUGACAUACUUGCUUUUUGUGCAUUUUGAUUCUUUUGUUACGCGGUUUCUCCAGUCAAUAGGAGCAUCUUCUUGAGGUUCCUCUGAUGUUCUGUAAUUUUCCCUUUGUAGGAGAUACGGAGCUUAGCAGAUAAAAUCAGCUUGCAAGUCCCGGAUUUAGAUGAUAUUAUGGAAAGAUUGAACAGUGCCGGUUUUAUUGUACAUAAAGGACAAAACAUAUACCAGGUAUUGUCUCAUAAAACUGCUUGACAUCAAGAAGUUUUGAUGUAUACAUUAGAUGGUUAUCCUGGUGUCGUGCUGAUUAUUGAUUAUGAGUUUAUGACUGUCAGGCUCGUGAUGAGCCCUCCACUGAGAAUCUAACUUAUUAUUGUCUGUGAAACAGAUAUUGACCUCAUCAUGUUCACGGACCCAGCCAACAAGGUCAAGAUGGUGAGUUCUCUUACACCCUACAUGAAAACAUGGGAGUUUGGUGUUGGUAUUAUGCUAAAUUUUAUAUCUGUGCCACACGUUAACGUCUGGUUGAUUAACAGUUACUUUGGGUCAGUGUCCAACACUUGCCAUUGUUGUGACAAGAUAACUGUUCAAAGGUUUCCUCUUUGCUGCCGAUUCAUGAUCGUUUUUUUUCUGGCAGAUGUAGGGGGGAUAUGUUCUGCAACUAGUAUGGACCGUUAUGUACAGUAUAGUCAUGUGAUGGCCUCUAAUUAAAAUGUGCGGAUAGCUCUGUUAAUGCUGUUUAUCGUAGCAGCUGUAGCUGAUAAUGACAAAAUUAGUAUCCUUACUAGUUCCAGCAUGUUAAAGAAACAUCCUGUUUUCGUUAAAGAAUCGUCUAUGUCCUGGACAUUGGUGAUCAUGAAUGCUGAUUCUUUAUGUGAAAGAAACAUAGUGUGUUUUUUUGCGGGGAAGAAACUUAAUGCUUCUAUGAGACUUGGAAUGGAAAUAACCCCUUAGGCCUGAGAAAUAGCAAACCCGCUUUGCUUACGGUUAUGUUUUUAUUUGGACGAACGCAGCAAUGCUGCUUCAUUUUAUAUUAAGAGAAAGAGUUACAACAAGUAAUUGGGCGGUGAUGAAGGUGACCACCAAGGUAGACAAAUGGAGGGCACAGAUAACAAGUUUCAUAGAAUCAUAGUACCAUCAAGGAGGCCUCCAUGUUAGCCUCCUUGGUGGUGUCACCACUCUUCUACAUUUUGCUCUACGGGAAUGUGGAACGCUGGUGUUUUAUCCUACGUCUGUGCUCUACGCUUACCAGUCGAAUUGUUUUGUGUGCUAUCCAUUUUUACAGAGAAAGCAGCCUUUAGAUUGCUCAAUCAAUAGGUCUUUUUCAAGCAUAGGCAAAAGGUAAUUUUAGGGGUCAUGGAGCCAUAUAUAUCUAUAAAUGAUAAUGAUGUUGUGCCCGCCCUGUUAGAUUCUCUCGGGUAGUGAACAAAGGUUGCUUUUCACAAACUCAGUCGCCUAGACUCAACGAUCAGUCUUGCUAUCAUAGUUGAAGCCUACCCGGUUACACCCCAUUUGCAGCGCCAUGGCUGACCUCAACAUCCUUUUUUUUUCUUGAGGUGAUUGCCUCACAUCUUGGGCAUGAACCAUGAGAGGUUCACCUGGGGUCGAUCGAUCUCGCUCACGCCGUUUGCUACCAGGUUUCUUCGCAACAGCUGUUUUGAAGUUGGCAGCCAGGACCAUGAGCAACGUAAACACGCAAUUGGAUCGAUGGGAGCUUGGAACUUCUCCCCAUUAAUGUGCCGCCAGCGUCUUCCACCGUUUUAUGAAAUGUACUACCCGCUGCUCCUAAAUACAGUACAAGUCUUUUUAAUGAUUUUAAUAUGAACUACAUAUGGAGCAAAAUAAGUGAAUCUACACUCUAAAAUAUGUCUAUAUACAUCUGUAUGUAAUCCUUAUUGAAAUUGAAAUCUCUAAAAAGACAUAUUUUUUUAAGGACGGAGGGAGUACUACGGAGUGUGUAAGUAGUUCCAGUGAUACUUUUCCUGCCCUAUCUGCCGCCAAUGCUUCACUUGUUCCGUGUUGGAAUGGGGCAUAUCUUUCGUUGCCCAUUAGUAUAGACGCCAAUGAGCAAUCAAACUAGUUUCCUCAUCGUAUCCUCUUGGGUUGUGCAGAGUUUGCAGUGAAAAACAUAAUCAGCUGUUAUUUGCAUAACUCUUCCAGUGUGAAUUACUACUACAAUCAGCAAAACUGCAUCCAUGUCAUUAUGGAUUUUGCACACAAAAAAACAUGAUACAGAAGCAUUGCAGAGGGCAGAUAAAACUUGCUAUCCAAAUCAUGGAAACAAAACUCAAUAGCGACAGACAGUCAACAGCAUCUCGCUAGUACAACUUCAGGUUACGUAUAUAGGAAUGAAAAUGCUAAAUGGUGGACGAGCUCCAUGGAGCUCGUUUUUUUGAAAAAAAAAACCCCGGAAAUUAUAGCUCCCAAGUUUCAAAAAAUCCUAAAAAGAUCACACGCGUUCAUACAGAUGUAAAUUUUAAAGAUGAUACUAUAAAUUAAUGGCGAGAGCUUCACUAGUUAGAGAAAAUCGUGAUUCUGAAAAUGGUGAACAUGUUUUGUGUAGCUCUUCAUCGUUAGAACGUGUAGAUUUUUCUCAGAAUAUUUUUAUUCAAAAUGUGUUUUUUGCUUCUUUUUGCUCAGGACAUUAAUAAUAUCCAAUCUAACCCAAAUAUCCAAUCCAAUUCACAGGUCGAUUGGUAUGGAUUUUUUUUCAGUACUACAGUACUGCAAAACUAUCUCAUCAUGCAAAAAAGAUUUUUUAAACAAACAUCAACAACAUAACACAGACAAUCAUAGCACAUGAGAUAAAACCCACUAGCCAGCAGAGUAACACAGCAACAAUAUAUAUCCAGAUCAUGGAAACAAUACUCUUAAUAGCAACUGUUAAGAGAAAGCAACAGCAGAGAAGGAACAAAUCUCGCUAGUACAACUUCAGGUUAUAUAGGACAUUGUAAACAUAGCAGGCAACUUUCCUCCUCAAACGACCAGAGCCUUACAGUCCAUUCCAUCCUUGCCUAACAAAAAUGCAACCUAAGACCUGGGCUUCUCCUUCUUCUCCUUGAAGAGAG